GGGGCGCUUCGCAAAUGGGUAAUCGAGAAAGCCCAUGAGUUGGCGGGGGAGGUUGGUGCGGAGAGAGUGGUAGAGGCUGGUACCGACGACGUCGCGGGCCGGGUCGAGGCUGAGCGGAUCGGAGUCGACUCGUGAGUCGUAUAGCCAGGUUCCGCCGAGACUGUGUCGUUUUUCGAGGACGACGACGUGGUGGCCUUCCCGAUGGAGCUCGCGGGCGGCAGCAAGGCCGGCGACGCCUGCUCCGAUUACCGCCACUCUCGCUGAUUGGGCCAUUGGGAGUGAGACGGCGCCGUCUGGCGAGUGCGAUCGCCUUUCUUCUCAAAAUAACCUGCGAACGGUGCAGGAAAUGAAUGUGAUGGCGUGCUGAGGAUGAAGACUAUGAAUAUGCGCACGUGACAUAAAUUUUUCAAUUUUAUUAUACCCAAGUGGCAAUAAGGAACGAAAAUUACUCUAAUCAAAUAAUGGAAGUAAUUAAAAGAAGACAAGUCAUCUCUAUAGGAUAAAAUGGGUUGGGAUAAAUAUUUAAGGGUAGAUAUUUAAAAAAAAAAAAUUCCCUUUUCAAAUAAAUUAAAAUGAAAUGAUUUGAAAUUUUUCUAUCUUAAUUCACACUUGUAUAAUUUCUUGCUUUGUGGGAUUUUUUUUUUUUUUUUUUUUAUAUGUAUGAGAGGUAAUGAAAAGAAUUAUAAAAUGGAUUGUUAUCGAUGAUGAUGGGAUUGUAAUGAGGUGCAUGCUCAAAAACAUUUUAAGGAAUUGGUGUGGCAUAAAGUGGAGAUCUAGGGAAGUGGAACAAAAUUCUCAUUUAAGGUCUUUGGAAGGUUAUGGCAAUGAAAAAGUUUUAAAAAAAUUUAGGUUUAUUUAUUUUGUAAAGAAAGGAGAUUGUUAGGAAUUGUUUAUUUGAAUAAUAUUCAUUUAUUUAAAUAAAUAAAAUAUUUUUGACUCAUUUUAAUUAAAUUAGAGAUAUUAUUUCAAAUGUCACUUUCUAUGUAGUUAUGUCUUUUCAAUUAAUAUAAAUAAUAGAGUUGUAUUGGGCUUUAUAUCCGUGGGAUAAUAUUUUUAAAAGUUCACGAUUUUCAAAUACAUCAAUUUGAUUAAGAUAUAUAUAUAUAUAUAUAUAUAUAUAUAUAUAUAUAUAUAUAUAUAUAUAUAGCAUUAAGAAUUCUCUCCCUAACCAUUAUAGGAUAUCACACUUCUACGCAAACAUAUCAUCUUCAUUGUAUUUUAUGGGAUUAUGAGAUCAAUUAAAAUAAUACUCAUUUAGAUUCUCACAUCAAGGUUGAGAAAUGAUUGUGAUAUCAUUCAUAGUGAUUUAGGUGGUGUUUGUUUUUUUGGCUUUUUACUCAAAACCAUUUAGUUUUAGAAUUUAAGUUGUUUGUUUUUUUACUUUUUCAUGUCUUAUAAUAAACUUUUUACUAACUAGAAAAAGUCAAAGGAGGUGUUUGUUUUUUUACUUAAUUCUAAAUAGAACAUUAAUGCUUAAUAGUGUUAAAUAUUAGGUUGUUUGAUUUUAUAGUAUUUUAUUUCUAUUAAGUAUUAAAAAGUAAAAAAAAAAAAAAAAAAACCAAUAUGUUAUUUUUUUUAGUUAGAAAAAAGUUACAUAUUUUGGUUUUUUCUAUUUAGUAAAAAGUUUAUAAUAAGUCAUGAAAAAGUAGAAAAACAAACAACCUAAAUUCUAAAAUUAAAUUGCUUUCAGCAAAAAACCAAAAAAACAAACACUACCAAAAUAUGAGGUCAUGGACCAUGCAAUAUCGUGACGCUACAAGCUUUGAUUUUGGCCAAUUUUUUUAUUCAAAAAUGUUUAUUUACUUAUAUAUUUGAAAUUUGAUUUUUAUCUCUAACUCAAAGUCAUUAUUUUAUUUUUUAAAUGAAAAAAAAUUAAAAUAAAUCUUCCGUGGUUGAGGCCCUACAAGAUCUCAAAUGGCUUCCAAAAAAGUUAACAAACCAUGAAAUGAGAAUGGAUUUGAGGUUAAGUUACUCAACAAGAAGAUAUGAGGCACCUCACUAAGCCGGAAAUGCAUUGGCAAUUAAUUUAUUUAUUAAUGAAUAAGUGUCAAAUAAAUAUAAUAAAGUUCAUCUUCUCAUUUAUGAAAAAAAAAAUCCUUGUGUUAAAAUGAACUUAAUAAAUCAACCAUAAAAAUUUUAAUAAAAUAAAUUUCCAUAUCAAAAGUAGUUAAAUUUACAAAAUGAUAUUGUUUUAUAUUGUUAAGUAUUAGUUAUGAGAUUACUAUAUGUGUGAUUAUUUUUGCAAGGGUUGGCAAAUGAUAGAGAAGUUUUAUUUUUGGGUAUUGAGAGAAAAAAAAAACACAGGGAAAAUCCUAAAGGGUGAAAGGUUUUAGGAUUCUCUUGUACUCUCUUUUUAUCAUAGUGAAAAUCUGCAAUAACUACAAGUGGAUGUAACUUUCACAUUAAGUGUGAACCACUAUAAAUCUCAUGUGGCUUUUUUUUUUUUUUUUUUUUUGUACUUUGUUUUUCGUAUUGGUUUAUCAUCGCUUUUGGAAAAUAAGAUCAGAGUGUUUUAAUCCUAACAAUAGCAUGUUGUUGCAUUUGUUCACGCCCAAGGAUGUAUGGAAAGAAAGAAAGAAAAUAGUUGCAUGAAUUGAAAAUGAAAGUAAAUAAAUAAAUAAAAACCUAAAGAGGGUAAUUUGUGAAAAAGAAUGAAAAAAGAAAAGAAAAUGAGAUAUCCCAACAAGAUGAAUUAAGAAAGGAAAGAAAUCCUCAAUGUGAAAGACACUAAUUUACCGUAAGGAGACUCCCAAUGAGAGAGUACUUGAGUACAAAUACAUGAAAGCUCAAGAACAACAAUGUAUUAUUUAAUUAUUUAUAAACAUUUGCAUCAUAUAUAUAUUUGGAUCGAAGAUUUAUAUAUAAUGAUAGAAUGAUAUCAAAUGUAUAUUUGAAUAAAUUGUUAGAUGAUAAAUUGAAGAGUUUAUUUUAUGCAAAAAAAAUUGGAAUAUUUAAUGAUAUAUAUUAUUAUAAUAGAAAAUUGACAAACCUAGUUAAUUUAAUUUUUUGUAUGAUUAAAGUUUCUAUUAAUGUAUAAUGUGAAUAAAUUUUUAUUUUUUUUUCAUUUGAUUAUAUUACACAAAAUUAGAAUUUUUACUUGUUUGGAUGCAUAAAACCCCAUUGAGAAACAUGGAAAUGUUAACACUUUUUUUCUAAAAUUUUUAGAUGUAGAUAUUAUUCCCAAGAACUAUAGAGAAAUUAAGAAGAGUUCCAAAAGGGUCCAAAAAUUGAUGGAACAACUUAAAUGAAUUUUAAAUUUAUACGAUAAUAGUUUCGGGCUAUGAAAAUUUAUUAUAUUUAUAUGGUUCUUUAUAGUUGUAGGCUAAGAGAAUUUCUCGCCUUUAUAUGAUUCCGCAUACAUUGUUUAAUCAAAACUAUAUGUGAAAAUUUCACAAUCGUCCUUCAACUUUGUACUAAAUAUAUUUAGUCAUCAAAAUUUUGAAAUUUCAAUAGAUAUUUCUCUAAUUUUGAAUCAAAAAAGAAAUGAGUAAAAAUAAUAAAUGAAAAGGAUAUAAAAAAUAUUUGUCAGAAUUUCAAAUUGAGGAUGGUAAGAUAUAUUUAGUCCAAAUAUAACGUGGGGAGUGAAAUUAACCCUCAAUCUUAACGGAGGUUUGAUCCAGAUGGAACCAUGGGUAGAGCAAGGGCUUAUGACAAGAAAGCAACCCACUCACAGCCGAAUUGUUCAAAAACUGGGCUGGCCCUGGCUCAGUCCAGCCCAUUAUCACCUGCAGGCUGUUUACACAACUUCUUCUCCAAACGCUACGAUUGGAUCAAUUCUGAGUUCAAGGUGCUGCAACUAUCUAUUCCGAAGUCAAUCAAUCAACCUCUAGGUUAGAUACAGUUGUUUGAAUACCGAGAAAAUAUUGCUUCUAGGAUGCUGAGAAAAUAAUGGGAUAUUUUUUGGGAAUCCAGAAAACGGCACUUUACCUAAAACUCAUAUGACCAUUUCAUCUCGGUUUUUAUUUAUUUUUAAGUUUUUUUUCUUUUUCGGAUUUUUUUUUUCACAAUAAAGAAAGUGAGAGAGAUAACAUAGGAGUCAAAAUAUGGUUUAUAUAUAUAUUCAUUUUCUUGAUAACCAAACAGACGGUUGGAUUCACUUUGUGUGCUUUAUAACUUAAAAAAUCUAUUUCUGAACUUUUAGGGUUUCUCUUCAAGUGGUUGUGAAAAUAUUGCAAGGUUUUUUUUUUUUGAAAAAAAAAACCCUUAUUGUUCAAAAUGGGACAUGGGAGUUAGUUCCACCUACCCCACACAAAACUUUGUUUAUUGCAAAUGGGUUUUUUCAUACUAAACAUUACUCUAAUGAUUCUAUCAAUAAGUUUAAAGUUUGUCUAGUUGUGAAGGAUUUUCACCAACGACCAAGAGUAAAUUAUCAUGAUACAUUCAAUCAAUGGUUAAACCUACCAUUGUGCACCUUGUUCUCAGUAUAUCAGUUAGUUGUGGGUGAUUUUUUUGUCAACUUGAUGUUAAUAAUGCUUUCUUGCAAGGUCAUCUUGCUAAGAAUAUAUAUAUGGCACAACCACAGGAUUUUGUUGACUUUGACUAUCCCUCUUAUGUGUGUAAAUUUCGUAAGGUCAUCUAUGGGCUCAAGUAAGCUUCACGUGCUUGGUACACGAGCUUCACCAAUUCCUUGAUGCCUCUGACUUUAAAAAUUCUCAUGCCGACACCUCAUUGUUUGCUCUCAACAUAGGUAGUCAUACUAUCUAUCUCCUCAUUUAUGUUGACGACAUUAUUAUUACAAGAAGCAGUAUUGAUGCAAUACAAUGCUUUGAGGUCCUACUAGUGCCUAAGGGUUUUCUCUCAAGGACCUUGGACCUCUUGCCUACUUUCUUGGUGUGGAGGUUGUUCCACAUGAACAUGGGCUCCUUCUCUCCUAACAUCAAUACAUUGAGGAUUUACUUGUUUGUACCAAAAUGACUAGUGCCAAACCAGUUGUCACACCUCUUCCCACCAACCCAACACUUACACUCCAUUAUGGAUCUACUCUCAUUGAUCCCAUAGAACAUCGACCCAUUAUUAGGAGUACAUAAUAGAUCCUUUGCGGUGAAUACACUCUUUCAAUUUAUGCAUCACCCCACCACCGAUCAAUGGGCUAUUGUGAAGCGCCUACUACAUUAUUUAUGCGGUACUUCUAACCAUGGACUCUUCUUCCAUCGUGACUCUCCCAUGUUGCUCCAUCCUUUCUCUGAUGUAGAUUGGGUCGACAAUAAGGAUGACUUCACUUCAACAAGUGCUUAUAUUGUUUAUCUUGACCACAAUCUCAUCUCAUGAAGUUCCAAGAAGCAACAUACUAUUGCCCACUUCUCUAUAGAAGCCGAAUAUAGGUCGAUUGCUACUACAACUAUUGAACUAUGUUGGAUGUGCUCUUUUCUUACUAAACUUGACAUUUAGCUUCCACAAGCACAUGUGAUUUAUUGCAACAAUGUUGGUGCUACUCAUUUUUGCUCCAAUCUAGUUUUUCAUUCACAUAUGAAGCAUGUGGCCAUUGUUUUUCAUUUCAUUCAUGAUCAAGUACAUAACGAUGCUCUUCGCGUUGCUUAUGUAUCUUAUAAAGAUCAACUAGCGAAUGCUCUCACCAAACCACUUCCACACACCCGUUUUGAUUCUCUCAUGUUCAAGAUUGGACUCUCCAUGUGGAGCUCAAUCUUGCAGGGCAUAAUAAAGGAAGUUAUUAUAUUCUCUUUCAAUCACUAAUUUGUUUCCUUUUAUAAAUAACCUAUUGAUUGUAAAUUAAUUAUAUUCUAAGUUAUAAUUUAGGUAAUUAGGGAACUUUUCGGAUUCCUAUUUUUUAUAUAUGUAUAUACAUAUUUUUCAUGAUCAAAGAAAUUAUACAAUAAUUUACCAAUCUCAUUCGUAGUCAACAAGAGAGAGAGAGAGAGAGAGAGAACACAUUAGUGCAAAACUAAGAUAUCAAGUUUUUUGGGACUAUGGAAUCAACCUGUGAUGCGAUGACUGCAUCCCAAUAGUCAUCAUCCCAUUGAUCCUUGUACCCAUCUCGCUUGGCUUUUGCUAACAUGGCACACUCCUUGUACAUCCUUCCUGUCCACUCCUUCAAUGGUGGCAUUCCCACCUGAGCAAGUAGCCAAUUCAUGUACUCAAUCUGACAUCAAACCAUCCACAAAAAAAAGGGAGUCAUUUUCACGAUAAUGGAAACAAAUGGAAACGUUCUCCAUAGAAGUCGAGAUUCUUAUUACCAUACAGAUUAUCUAAAGAGCUACAAAUAUUUGAUAAGAAAUGGCUUUAUCCAAUGAUAAGUCCUUAAGAAGAUUAAAUAUGAAAGAUAAGCAAAUAGAUGGAGCACCUCAUUGGGGGGAAGGACAUGGGUGAAGCGCUUGGGCACUCCAGUUUCCUCCAUAUGAUGAUAGUAUUUUUCGAUAUCAGACAUCAUCUCCUCUUUUGUUGGCAGCAAUGCCUUACCAGAUAAAACAUGUGCCAACCACUUGGAUUGUAACUCGGCUGUCAUAAAUGGGGUACCCUGAUUGCAAAAGAAAAAAUUCCAUUGUCAAUUGCCCAAAUCUUAAGUAGUCUGGUUAGUCAACAGAAAGUUAAUCUACAACAGACUAUAGAAUCAAUCAAAUGUGCAUUAACAUACAGAAAAUAGAAUCAAGGAAAGAGGAACAUCUUUUCUUGUGGUAUGCUAUUUUAAUCACAUUAAUGAAUUUUAUAGCAAGAUCCAUUUGGUAUGCUUAGGCCAGAAAAUUUAUAGUUCAUAUCUAAUUAAUGUUUAGUGGCCGGGUAUUUCAUGAGUUCUACAAAAUGAACAAAACUAUUUUCCUUUUCAAAUUUAGCACACCAUUAUGUGGGAAUAUGUGGUUGAAACAACAGACCUGCUUAGGCAUUCCAAUGAAAGAGAGCCAAGGAGCUAAGCGCGGAGGGAAGACAUGUUUAUACAGUGGCCCAACACGGUUGUCGUCAAUGGUUACAAUUCCAUUUGUUUCAAUAAAUGGAAAAUGGUAUUUGUACCUGCAAAAGAUAUCAUUCAGAACUUGAAUGACAAAAGGAAUAUGCUAAAGCUCAUCAACAAGUCAUUCACUGAGAGAACCAGCAGGAGGAGCAAUGAAGGGAGGAUAGGAAGAUAAAAUGUGAAGGGCUACUGAGGAAAAAACAAUGAAAAGUGAAGCAUUUGAUUCAUACCCAGUACAGUAAAAAAUGGUAUCUGCAUGAACUGAGGAUCCAUCUUGAAAGACAACCUUACCAUCUUCAUCAACAAAUUCUAUCUGUAAAGAUAGGAUUGAGAAUGAGUACCUCACACCUUGAAAUACACUUUGUUAGCUUACUGUUCAACCAAAAAAUGAAACCUUCAAUAUGACAGUUUUGAUUGAAAUGCAAACCGAAAGCACCCUUUAAGUCUGGAUUUAGAGGGUGUUUCAAUAAUUAACUUAAUAAUUUAAUAUGACUUAAGAAGUACUUAAAUUAAGUCACUAAAUAGAAUAAGCACAUUUAAUAAAAUAACUUAAUACAACAACUUUAAAAUUAAUUUUAAAUAUUAAAUCAAAAUAAUUAACUUAUUCUUAAUUAAAAAUAAAAAUAUUGAUAAUCACGCAUAUAUUAGUACUUUGAUUUUAUGAAUAUAUCGAGAUAUAUUAAAGAAUAUUUUGAUACAAAAUAUCGGUGAUGUAAAAAUUAAUGAAAAUAUCAAGAAAAACUCUAAAAAUUUAUAUAAGAAAUAAAAAAUGGACAUUUUAAAGUUAUUUUUUUUUGAAAAAAAAUUAUAUCUAUAAUUUUUCAUAUUUGAUAAUAAUAACCUCUACGUCGAUAAAAAAUAUAAAUUUUAUAAAUGUACAUUUAUUAUUAAGUUGCAUCAUAUAUUAUUUUACAAUAAUAUUACGAUAACAUAUCUAAUUUUAAAAUAUAUUUAAUAUCAAAAUUAUGAUUCAUUUUAAUUUAAAUGUAUUCAAUGAUAUCAAAUAAAUAAUAAUAUAUGUACAAUUUGUUUAAUAUUUAUAUUUUUAUAUUUAAUAAAUAUAUAGAUUAUAUAAAAAGACCUAUUAGGAAAAUUAUGUUUUUAUAUUUUUGGUAAUAAAUUAAAUCAAAUGUAAAAAUAAAAUACUUAGAAUUAAUUUAUUUAAUAAUAAAAAAUCAAAAUAUUGGUAAAAAUAUUUGGAAAUAUCGGCGAAAUAUCGCUUGCAAUGAGAAAAAAAUAAAAAAAAAUAGUUAAAAUAUCAAUAAAAUAUUUGAAAAUAUUCGUUGAUGGAUAUAUCUUUCUGAAUUUCGUAUCGGGAUCCACAGAUAUUAGAUAUAUCGAGAUAUUUUAGACCUUGCUCUAAAUUUCAAAUCCUUUGACCUCAUUUGCCUACAUCUAGUAAUGGUACAUUUUACAACUAUAACUCAACAUUUGUGACUUAUUUUUUAUAAUAAGUAUUUUUUUUGUUAUUUUAUGUAUUUAAAAUACUUUAAAUAUAUAUAUUUAACAAAUAAAUUUAUUAUUUAAAAUUAGUGAAAAUAAAUAUUAGUUAAAAUCAAUUAAAAUAAAUAUGAAUUAAAAUUAAUGAAGAUAAGUAUGUCAAUUCAAUGAUUUAAAAUAAAUUUUAAGUUAAUUUUACUAAACAACUUAAAAUAAAAAAGUAAUAAGUUUUAAAUUAAUAAUUUAAAACUAAUUUUAAUUUGAAGUGAAAUUAAAUCAUUAAAUAGUAGAUAUUAAGUUUUACAAAACAUCUUACAAUUGCUCGAAGCUUGGAUUUGGAGAACUAAUCACAAUUUCCAACUUGGGGUCAGACCGCAUGUGGCUCCAACAACCCCACAUUUUCAAAUGAAUAUGAUAGAUAAUUUGAGAUAUGAAAAAGAAAAAAGAGGAAGGUUACCAUUUCAUGCUGCCAUAUGUUUUUAUGGUUGUCUAAUUUUCCAACUGUUACAUUAGGGGCUCUUGUUGCGAUGUGAACUUCCUUGGCUACUGUCGCCACAUCUCUAGAGAUAUCAAAAGCACUAGGUCCAAAUCCAAUGAGAACCACCACCUGUCGGGUACAGUAUAUUUGUAAAUAUUCAAGAACUGGCAAACAAAAGAGUAAAUUAAUCCAAUUUAAUAAAAGAAACAAUGGGACUAUAUUAAACUAACCCCAUAAAGAGUGCUAAUUAAUAAACAGUGAACUGCUUUGAGAUUAGAAUCCUAAGAUUAAAGAACAUAAUUUGAUGCUAUCCGGACUUCUGCCAUAUGGCAAAGAUUUAUAUUGAAAUUUCAGUUCAUAAACCGACCUGCUUCCCAAGAGAAGUUGACGGGGGCCAUUAUAGAUGUUAAAAGGGAAAUGUGUUCUCUUCUAAAAACCCUGAAAACACAAGGACCGCAUCACCCAAAAUAGAUGCUCCUACCGCCGGCCCAUAUACAACACUCCACAACUCCAACAAACAUGUCUUUGUUCCAUGACCACUAAACUUGGGGACAAGUUUCAACACAUUGACUGAGUAGCGUGUCAGUGAAAAGUAGGAUGCUUAACAGGCUGAGUAGCGUGUCAGUGUGUGGAUAUUAGAGUUAUGGGUGCUAGGCAUUCGCUUGGUGGUGACUUGGGAGUGGCAACACCUUUGGUGCACAAGCAAGGCACCAUGUGGGUGGUUCAACUUGACAAAAAUUCAAGUGUGAGAUUUCACUUGAUAAUAAAAAAAUAAAAAUAAAUGCUUUAAAAACUCUUUAAGGUGAGGGAGGUGACUCUCCAAAACUAUGGUGAUAGAACAUGGACGGCAAUGGUAUAUCACCCUAACCUAGUUCAAAGUCAUAGUUUGGGUCAUUGACUCAAGAGGUGUUGAGGCAUAUCAAUCUCAGCUUGGUAUCAAGCCAUACAAAAAAUAAGUUCACUAAAAAGUUUAAAAAAUUAUGAAAAUUAUCAUAACUAUUGGUAUAAUCAAAUAAGUUAAAAAAUUAAUAAAAAACAUGUAUAACUUUUAACAUUGUUUAAAUAGUUAUAAAAAUAUGUACUCAAAGUUAUUUAUAAUAAUGUUAAGAAUUAAAAAUUAUUUUAUUUUAAAUAUAAUAAUAGUUUGCUAAAAAGACAUACAAUUAAAUAUGAAUUAUGCAUUGAACGACGUGGGAGCUCAAAAUCAUCAUCAUUUGUCCUAUAACGAGUAUAUAAAUUGGGGUGGUAGUUCCCAUGAUAAGGAUAUGGUUAAAAGAGUUAUCUAUAGUUCAAAUAGGUUAGUUGAGAUGACUAGCUUGAUGAUAGGUGAUCGGAACCUAUGGUGAUAGUACCCAAAACCUCAAUACCCAAUGUUGCUACUAAAAUAAGAUUGAUCAUAUGCAUAGUAAUCAUUAGCUCAUGUUCUAGUAUUUGAUUACUCCUCUGGAUGCAUCCUUAGAAAUAGAUCAAAAUAGUUUCUACUAGAAGUAGUGGUACGUACUAUAACAUUGUCUAAAGCUAUGAUGUGAUUUAUCAUCUACUCCUUUAAAAUAUUGUCAUCUUACACGCAAAGUCUACAUAUGCUCAUCAAUACCUUGAUAAUUAAGUCUAGGAUAAUAUUGUCUACUAGAAUAAUCAUCAUUAUUGGAAAAUGUAGUUAGUCUUUCUAAAUCAUUAUAUGAUAUGUAUCUUAUGUGGCAUAGUAAAUUUUAUCUCCUUGUACCCAUGACAUGUUUGAAUUUGCUUAACUAAUAUAAUCACCACCUUCACUUUCAGAUAGUCGAUCACCACUAUUGUUGCUCCUUUUAUCAUUAUCAUUGUCAUCAUCAUAGUGAGUGACAAAGAUUCUCACUUCAUGAGUAAGUUUUGAGUUGAGCUCUUCAAGAUGUUAGGAUCAAAACCAAAAUUUUCAACUAAAAUCACCGUCAAAUAGAUAAUUAGACUUUUAAAAAAAUGGAUGCAAAUGCAAUAAAAGUAUUUGAAGCACUACAUGAUUGCUAGACAACAUAAUUUUUUGGAAUUUCUAGAAGUGACUCGGUGUUGUUAUAAUCUACACAAGAUUUCUUCUAUAGGAUUGUGCCCAUUCAAGAUGGCAAUUAGGCAACAGCCUAAUCACAUGCCUUUAGAUACGUUGGUUUGGAUAUAAGUUGAGCAUCACAUAGUCAUGUAGCCUUUUGAUUCAUGGAAUCUUGUUAGGAAAUGCAUGAAAAAGCAAAAGAAAGUUUGGAAAAAGACAACAAAUGAAUGAAAAAGUGUACUAAUAAAAAGAGGAAACCCUUAGAGUUUCAAGUUGGCAAUAGAGUAUCAUUGAAACUUACACCACAAAUUUGGAAGAACAUCAACACCCAGAAAGUAUUGAGGGGUUUCAACCCCAAGUAUGAUGGUGCCUUUGAAGUAAUAAAAAAGAUUGGUGCAAUUACAUAUAGGUUAAAACUUUCAUAUACACUAAAAAUUCAUCAUUCUUUUCAUAUUACUUUCUUUAAGCCCUUUCUUAACAAUCAAGAUCCCACUGAGAUAUAGAAAAGCAUGCACCUUAGACUAUCCAAAAGUAGUUUAAGUGAGAAGCCUAUAAGAUCUUGGAUCAUCGAACUAUGGAGCUAAGUAAAAAGAAUAGAAAGAUUGAUUACCCAAUCCAUUAAAAGGGGACUCUUGAAAAUGAAGUUAGGUGGGAGAGGUAUACAACCUUACGACAGUAUGAAAAGGUAGUACAAGAGUAUAUGCAAGCUAAGUCAAUGAAGGUGCAAACUCCACUUGGUGUGGUGGUUUUUCAGCAUCUUAACUACAAUGAUAUGGAACCAAAACUUCAUGUGGUGGCACCUUGUAACCGUGAGUGGUAUAACGUGGGGGCUGGCAUGCCAUGUUGAAGACAAGAUGAAAAGUUAGAGUGUUUACAAGGCUAAGAAGCAUAUUAAUGCAAAGGGAUAACUAUUAUGGGUGCAAGCGUUGGCUUGGAUGUGGAAACUUGUAGUUGUAACAUGCAUAAAUGCACAUGCAAAGCAACCAUUGGUGGCUCAACUUAUAAAAAUUUAAGUGUAAGAUUCUGUUGAGCUACGAUUUUCCUUCCAAAGGAGAUGCCUUAUAGAAGGGGUUUUCAAGUGGAGAAAAACUUUUUGAUGUUUUCUAUAAAUAAAGAAAAUCCAUUAUGCAAGUAGAAACACCAAUAAUAUCCUUAUGUGUCUAAAUAAGAAAUGUUUAAAACUUAUUAAGGAAGAAGGGAAUGACUCUCUUCAAGGGUGGUGAUGGAACAUGACUUACGAUGGACAUGUCACUCUAAAAGCACAACAUAGAGCCUCAGACAUGAUCAAGGUGUGAUGGGAAAUAGUGAUUUAGCCAAAAAGUUUGAUUUGAGGGGGGCAAAAGUGUAUAUAUAUAUAUAUGAUAAUAAGUUGUUCAUAAAUUUGAAAAUUAGUUAAUGACAUCCUCCUUAUCAUUCAACAAAUUGAAAAAUAGUUAAUAAUAUCCUCCUUAUCACUCAACUAACAAAGUAAUCAAGUAAUUUAAAUAUAUAUAUAUGAUAAUAAGUUGUUCAUAAAUUUGAAAGAUGGUUAAUGACAUCCUCCUUAUCAUUCAACAAAUUGAAAAAUAGUUAAUAAUAUCCUUCUUAUCAUUCAACAAACUAAGUAAUUAAGUAAUUUAGGCACUCAUAUAUAAAUAAAAGUAAAUAAAAUUAUUAAAUUAAAUCACCAACUUAACAAAAAUAUUAGCAAAAAUUAUUAGAUUUUAUAAAAUAAAAUAAAUUAAAUUAAAAGAAUUUUUCAAAAAAAAAAAGUUAAAAAUGAUUAAAAAUCUAAGUAGACAAUUAUCAAUAAUUUUUCUUUAAAAAUCUUUAAAACUUCUUCAAAAUUUUGUAUAAUUUCUUUUUUGAGAUUUUUUCAAAUCAACAUAUAUGUGUAAAAUCAAUUGAAAGUAAUGAAAUCAGUUACUUUAAAAUUAUCUAUCAUAUGGUCAUAUGAGGGUGACACAUUUGCUAAGAUAUUAAGGUCUUGAUAUUUAGAGUUUUAAUAGAUUCAUAUAUCAAAAUUUAAGUAGUUCCUAAGAAUUUAAUAGAUAUUAUUGUCUAUAGUUCAAAAUAUUUUAUUCGUCAUGUGUUCUUCAAUAGCUAAGACUAAAUAUAAACUCAAUUAAUAUAAAUACAUUUAAAAUUUUCAUAUGGAAAUGGAUCAAAGAGAAUAUACAAUCAAAAUUUAUUUAAUAAAAUGUCAAAUAUAAAAUGAUCAGACACUUAAUUUUAUUCAAAAAUAAAAUAAAAUUAUAAGAAUAAGUUAAGAUGGUGUCAACCCUAAAGUUAAGAAUUGGGUAAAUCCUCCAAUGGCCCUGAGGGGACUUGAACCAGUAACCAUUGGAGAGCAAAUCCAAAAUCCAAAAAUCAGACCAAUUGAGUUAUCUCUCAAUGUUCAAGGAAGAUAAAUAAAAUUAAUUGUUUAAAGUAAAUAUUUCUUUUUAGUUUAUUUAAAAUUUAUAAAUUUAUUUUAUUUAAAUCCAUAGUAUUUAAAAUAUAAUUAUUUUUAUUUUAAAAAAAUGAAAUGAAAUUUAUAUUUUUAAAGGUUCAUUUUAAUUUUUAAAGUGGCUAACUAUACAUAAGAAUUCCUUUUAUAACAAAAAAUGAUGGGGGGAGGGGGCAGUAUACACAAGAAUUUUUUUAUUUUUAAAAAAAUAGAAGAGGGCAUGCUCCUCUAACCUUGAUUUGAUCUACACAUGAUGGUGAGCCUUGCUAACAUGUAAAAAAUGGGUGCAAUACUAUUUUACACAGCACAGGUUAUGCAUGCCUCAAAAGGAAGUAAUAAGCAAUGUUGUCAUGCAUGAGUCGAUAGUUCAACAGAUGUAGACCGUGGACUGAGAAGGAAGCUUAGGCAUAUGAGCCAUGUUGCAGGAAAGAUGUAAGCUAAGAGGGACUUUGGCGCACAUUAGGUUACCUAUACAUACAUCAGCAACGAGUAGCACAAGUGGGCUCAAUAUGGUGCAACAGUUAAAGAUUAAUAAAAAAACCAAGCAAUGGUUGUUGGACAAUAAAAACAUGACACUUAGAGGCAUAAGGCUGUGGCACAUUAGCGUCAGGAAAAGCCCAAGCAAGAAACUAUUGGCACAUUAAAGACUUGAUGUGGAUGUAGUUGAUGUCAAUACAAAGUUGUGCGAGUCUUGUUCAAAAAGGCCUUGGCCAUUUUAGUAUAUAUUAUUAGUAUAUAUUACUUGAUAGUUAAUCCAAGUUAGAGGUUUUCCCUUAUAACAAAUGUGAUGCUUUGUAUUCUAUUGCUUGUGUAUAUUGUUAGACUACAUUGUUCGACUGGUAAAGUUUUGGUUUUAAAUGGCAACUACGCAUCUCGGCAAUGCAAAAAUACAAGGAAAAAAAUAUAAAUAUUUGAAAGCAAGGGCCUUUUUGUAAUUCCAUGAGAAUCAUAUGAAAUAUUAAAAUGAGCUCGUCCCUGUAGUGAAAAUAAAAUAAAACAAUUUCUUUUCCGGAGAGACGUAGACAACAACUUAAGUGCUAGCUCAUUGAUACACUUCUUAUUUUUUUAUUCUAAAAAUGAAAAAUAGUAAUAACUUCUAUAUAAAAUCUAGUAUCUCUUAUAUUAAAAAGUAUAGUUAAACUUACUUUAUAUUCUUAAAAAUUAUUUUUAAAAUUUGAUAUAAUAAAAAAAAAUUUUAGUACCUUAUUAUUUUUAAAUAGAUUUUAAAAGAUAUUAUUUUUUAAGAUAAAUUUAAAAGUUCUUACACUUUACAUAUGAGUUACUAUCAUAUUCUUACUUAAAAAAUAGAAAACAAUCACUAACUUGAUAACUUUCAUAAACUCGAAUAUUAGACCUAUUGAAAAUAUUGCAUUUAGCUUUGUAAUCAAUAACAACCAAUCAAUUGUGGCAAAUGAAUAAAUACCUGACCCGUGAAUGGUUUAGGAAUGCGAUAAUUGUGGCUAUGUAUUUGAUAUCCACGCCAUUUUUCAAUACCUGUCACAUAUUAAUAACCAAAAAUAAACAUCAAGGAUACAUUUAAUAUUUGUUUGGAUGCACUUUUUAUUCUUUAUUUUUAAAAUUAGAAAAUAACAAUGACUUUUAUAUAAGAUACAAUAGCUAUUACAUUAAAAAAGUAAUAAUUUAAAAAAUGAUUAAAAUUUAGAGGUUACUUUCUUAAAUUUUAAUUUUUUUAAAAAAAUACAAGGUAAAUCCAUAAAAAUGUUUUAAUUUUAUGUACAAGUUUCUAAUUUUAAAUAUAAAAAAUAGAAAGUGAAAUCUAACUGACAAUCAUUUAUUUUGAUAACAUUUUGAAUUUUUCCAAUCAUGUGAUUGAAGCAAUGGAUACAAGGACAAAAAAAAAAGAGUUAACCGGUAAGACAAGAAUUUCAAACUUUGAAACCAUAAAAGCUAAUAAACAAUAUUUUCAUAACCAAACCUGAUAUUGAACCAGAAAAAUUGCUAAUUCACGGUUCACUGGUCAAACCGAUGAUCGAAAAAUAGUCGAAACAGUAACAUCAUAAAUAUACAAUUUAUAUUUUAUUAAAAUUAAAAAUAAUUAUAAGAAAUUUAUAUAAAAUUAAAAUUCUUAAUAAUAUUUCAAUUGUUAUAUUUGAUAUAUCAAAUUAAAUAAUAAAGAUAAAUAUAAAUGUACCAAUAUAUUAGAAUUUAUUAAAUGGAAUAGGUAUAAUAUUUAAAUAUGAAGGUGAAAAGAAAAUUAUAAUAUUUAAUUUAAUUAUAUAUCUAUAUAUUUUGUUAUUUUAAACAUUAUUAUAUUAAUUAAUUUAUAUUAUUUUCAUAUUUAUCAUUAAUAAUUAUUAUAAAAUAAAUUUGGUAGAAAUAUUUAUAUAUGUUUAGUGUGUUAUAUGAUAAAAAUUUAAAACAACCAUGUAUAUAAUUUAGAUCUUUAGCAAUUAUAUAUCAAAGUUGACAAGUAGUAGAAUAGUUCUUUACACAUAUAAUCACAAAUCCUAGGUUUGACAGUGCAAUCUGUCUGAUACUCCGGACCCGAUAAAAAAGAUCGUCAGUUAUUUUCAAAACAUGUCUAAUAAAGACAAAAAGGAGUAUUCACCAAUAUAAAAUAUUAAAAAUUAAAUGAUUUUUAAUCAAUAGUUGACCGAUUCAUUAAAAAGGUUCGACGGUCUAACCAACGGUUCAAAGUCGAUCCAAUAUUCUGAACGAGAUUAGAGGGGUCCAAUACUUGGGACCACUUCGAACUAUUAUCACUGAUCAUUUUCAAAACAUGUUUAAUAAAGAAAAAGAAGUGCUCACCCAUAUAAAAUAUUAAAAAUUAAAUCAUUGGCCGUAAAAUAAUAUAGCUCUUUUGUCCAAUGUAUCUUUAGCAUACAAUUGAUUUUCUAUCAUGGCCCAGGCCCACUAGAUCUGGAUCACAAUGGCAUAUAGAUAAAUGUGCGGUCAUCAAAGUAUCAAGCAUAGUGAAUUACUGUGAGACGCGCUACACCGUAUCAAAACACCGGAACUGCACUCACCGCACCAAAAAAGAACCGUAGAACUGCACUCACCGCACCAGAAAGAACCGUACCUGGAACCUCGACGAGAUGGGGCUCAGUGUAGUGUCCGUUACAAACGACCACAGCGUCAUACACUUCCCUCACCACCUUUGCCGACUCAGACCCACGACUCCUCGACUCAACCACCCACUCGUCGUUCCUCCCCUCAGCUCGCUCCGCUCGGACGACCUCGGUGCAGAACCGAAUCAACUCACGGAGUUGGAACUCGUCGGCGAACUCGUUUAGAAACCAAAGCACCUCCUCGUGACCUGGAAAGGUUCUUUGGUCCCCAUGGAUACGCUUGGCAAAUGGAUAAUCGAGAAAGCCCAUGAUUUGGCGGGGGAGGUUGGUGCGGAGAGAGUGGUAUAGGCUGGUGCCGACGACGGCGCGGGCAGGAUCGAGGCUGAGCGGAUCGGAGUCGACUCGUGAGUUGUAUAGCCAGGUUCCGCCGAGACUGUGUCGUUUUUCGAGGACGACGACGCGGUGGCCUUCCCGAUGGAGCUCGCGGGCGGCAGCGAGGCCAGCGACGCCUGCUCCGAUCACGGCCACUCUCGCUAACAGGGCCAUUAGGAAUGAGACGGCGCCUUCUGG
rnacentral:lncRNA from 1 species